rnacentral:lncRNA from 1 species
ACUGAAGGAGAGAGAGAGCAGAAUACUCUAAAUACAGUCUCCACGGAGAUUCUGCUCAACAGCGCCGAGAUGACACCAAGUACAGAAUCAAGACCUUUAGGAACUCAAUGUGUCCUCUUUCUCAGGACGACAGACCCUUUUCUGCCGGUUCCCACGCUCAUGGCCUAGAUCACUCCUCCUCUUGGCAGGACCACAGUCGCUUCCUGUCUACUCCACAGUUUUCACACUUUAACUGCUUGCCAGCAUUUACCAAAAGAACCAUUGCCUCAGAUCCAGCUUCAAUCAAGGGAGAUGCCCCAGGUUUACCAGCGAAUGGAACAAGUCUACAGUCCAAGAGGGAGGAGUAUGAGAGCAAAAAAUCCAAAAUGUGAUUCACAACCUCACUUGAGUAUUUCCCAAGUAACAGCCCAUAGUCCUUGUUGCCACUGGGCUCAGAUUAUCUAAAGACAUCAUGUGGGUUCAGCUCCUUGGAAUCACCAAGCGUUGACUAGCAUGACGUUAUAGCCAGUCUUUGUGAGGGAGAAUAAAUUUAACUUGUAGAGGUAAUAUCAACUUAUGAACGAUAUAUAACUCACUUAAAGGCAACUGGUACCAGCAGAGAAAGUGAUCAUUUCUACCUUAUAUUUUCCUAUUUCUCAGUGUCACAAUUUUCCAACCCAACCUGGAAUUUAUAAUCUAUGCCUUUCCAAGAUGACUGGCUACAAGGAGAAGGGGUUCCCUCCAGGCAAAUGUUCCCAGCAGUUUAGAGUCAGGCACAUUUGUACACGGGGGAUGUGUAAAUGCUUUCUCCCUCAUCGUCAUGUGUUUUAACCUGUUGUGGAGAUGCUUUGGAAUAUCAGACUGCCUUUUCAAUGCUUGUCGUCAUCACCUGUCAAAUCAGCAGUCUGUUACUACAUGAAGUAUCUUCAAACCAUUGCAAUUGUCAUUUUAAUUGCAAAAGAAUUUAUAAAAGAUAGCUGAAUCAUAGAGCAUCAUAAAGAAUUCAUAACAUCAUUUAUAUAUUUGUCAUGUUACGGCCACUUGUCCCACUGCGAUCAUCCUGGUCAUACGCUGGAUGGUCUUUGGUUUGCUGUGACCUCAAUCCCAGCACCCCUGUCCUGGGUCAGUCAGUGGGAUCCACUCUGUAGGAAUCCUUAUAUCCUUUGGUACUACUGCUUUCCACAUCCCAGUCUUUCAACAUCAAUGUGCUUUUAAAACCUUACCGCUCCGCUGUGCCCAUCAACCAGUGAAUAUUAAAUAAUGGCCAUCAUCCUGAAACUGAGUCCAACUGGGCCAUGGUGGAAAAACCUGCACAGGGCAGGAACAAUAAAGCAAUUCCUUUGUAAGAACAA